AGCGCAGGCGGUUUGUUAAGUCUGAUGUGAAAGCCCACGGCUCAACCGUGGAACGGCAUUGGAAACUGGCAAACUUGAGUAUAGAAGAGGAAAGUGGAAUUCCAUGUGUAGCGGUGAAAUGCGUAGAUAUAUGGAGGAACACCAGUGGCGAAGGCGACUUUCUGGUCUAUAACUGACGCUGAGGCUCGAAAGCGUGGGGAGCAAACA
rnacentral:rRNA from 1 species